ensembl:lncRNA
GUAGGGGUGGCCCUAUAAAGUGCAGGCUUGCUCCUGGUCUGGGGUCCAGAGUUGCUGAAGACUCUGUAUGGUGUUAGGCAAGGCGAAGAGAUUUGGUAAGUGGGUGGGGGGUGGCAUUUCGUGUAUCACUGUUACUGGAUUUAGUUCAUUUCAAUAACACUUGUUGAGCCCUAGCAAUGCUCCAGGGCUUCCCUGGUGGCUCAAUGGUAAAGAAUCUGCCUGAGAUGCAGGAGACACAUGAGACGUGGUUUCGAUCCCUGGGUGGGGAAGAUCCUCUGGAGGAGGAAAUGGCAAGCCACUCCUGUAUUCUUGCCUGAAAGAUUCUAUGGACAGAGGAGCCUGGUGGGCUAUAGUCUGUGGGGUUGCAAACAGUCGGAUACAACUGAGUGACUGCACACACACACACAGAACAAUGCACAUUGGGAACUAAGCUACAGACAUGCCCAGACACAUACAGAGCCGGCCUCGUGAGGCUUAAGUCCAGCAGGAGAGAUGAGGGUAUUAAAUACACAGCUACGUUCUCUGCUUCAAGCUUGGCAAAGCCCCUGCAAACGAUGACAGAAGUGUUGGGGUUAUUCUUAACAGCUUUUGGGCUUUGGCUGAAAAGGGCACGUCCUUUUUUCCCAUCUUGCUGUGAACAAUGAAUGGCUGUGUUGUAUGGGAACAUUUAGUGCCAGCUCCUUGCAUUUCCAGAAGGAGAAGGAAAGUCCUACUUUCCAAGAGGGAAAGGUUUGGGAGGAGCACUGCUGAUGUUUUUUUCCUCUAUGCCUGUGACCCGCUAAUUUCUCUGCACAGAAGGAAAGGUGAUUCUGACUCAAUGAAUGAAUUUGGAGCUGUGAACACACAGGAAGACUCUAGCACAGAAUUUACAAAAUGGAAGUCUUCGGGCUGAAUCUAGCUUCUCCAUGUGUUUCAUUGAACCCAGGUAAAACUGAAAGCUGUGAGUUAGCUGAAGGAAACAAGUGCAGGAUUAUAAGUAGAAAUAUGGAUUUUGAUUUAUUUUCUUAAAAAGCAAAGACUGGGGCCUCCCUGGAUCCCAUUCCUGAUUGGCCAUCAUCUUCUGGAGCUGAGUGGGGGUCCCUCCUUUUCACUGGGACCCCCCCAGUUUGCCAUAGUCCCCAUGGGUCUGUCAGUUUUGCAGACUCACUCAGCUUCUCUUCCAGGUCAUCUACCUGAUCCUCGGUCAUUUGGUUUUACAGCCCCAUGUUGCACCUGAGAUGCUGGGUUUAGCCUCUCCUG